rnacentral:rRNA from 1 species
ACGGGAGGCAGCAGUGGGGAAUAUUGGACAAUGGGGGAAACCCUGAUCCAGCGACGCCGCGUGAGUGAAGAAGUAUUUCGGUAUGUAAAGCUCUAUCAGCAGGAAAGAAAAUGACGGUACCUGACUAAGAAGCCCCGGCUAACUACGUGCCAGCAGCCGCGGUAAUACGUAGGGGGCAAGCGUUAUCCGGAUUUACUGGGUGUAAAGGGAGCGUAGACGGUAAGGCAAGUCUGAAGUGAAAUGCCAGGGCUCAACCCUGGAACUGCUUUGGAAACUGUCCUACUAGAGUGCAGGAGAGGUAAGUGGAAUUCCUAGUGUAGCGGUGAAAUGCGUAGAUAUUAGGAGGAACACCAGUGGCGAAGGCGGCUUACUGGACUGUAACUGACGUUGAGGCUCGAAAGCGUGGGGAGCAAACAGGAUUAGAUACCCUGGUA